rnacentral:rRNA from 1 species
AUGGUGCCCGACAUCAGGGCUAAACUCUUAGCCGUCUUCGGAUGCACCGCCGAUGUAGAAGGCCUGACAUAUGCGAUGUUGGUUUGUGGAUGGGGGCCGUCGGAGAGGAAGGCUGGAUGGCGCGGCGGGAAGACAGUGGUGAUCGUGCCCUAUGCCCAUGACAUGGCGGUCGCGGUGCUGUGGCGUCCAUUCCCAUUUUUUCAUCUUCUCUACUUUGCUUGGCACUGCGUUUUGUUUCACUUUGAGAAGGGGGACACCAACAAGAAGCAAUUCUCACAGGAACAUCACUCAACUCAACUCUCAUUACUUCCAUCAUAUCCGUAG